rnacentral:tRNA from 2 species
GCCUGAGUGGCGGAAUGGUAGACGCGACGGAUUCAAAAUCCGUUUCCUCACGGAGUGCCGGUUCAAGUCCGGCCUUGGGUACCA